rnacentral:rRNA from 1 species
CUGGUUGAUCCUGCCAGUAGUGAUAUGCUUGUUUCAAAGAUUAAGCCAUGCAUGUCUAAGUAUAAGCGAACUUAUACAGUGAAACUGCGGAUGGCUCAUUAAAACAGUUUGAAUUUAUUUGAUGAAUGUAUGAGAAUACUACUUGGAUAACCGUAGUAAUUCUAGAGCUAAUACAUGCAACGACGCCCGACCGUUUCACUACGGAAGGGCUGUAUUUAUUGGAUACCAAAACCAUCCUUCCCUCGGGAAGUUUUGUUUGAUGAUUCACAAUAACUGAUCGGAUCGCCACUGUGGUGGCGACAGGUCAUUCAACAUUCUGCCCUAUCAGCUUUCGAUGGUUGUGUAGUGGACAACCAUGGCCAUAACGGGUAACGGAGAAUCAGGGUUCGAUUCCGGAGAAGGAGCUUGAGAAUUGGCUACUACAUCUAAGGAAGGCAGCAGGCGCGCAAAUUACCCAAUCCCGAUUCGGGGAGGUAGUGACAAAAAAUAACAAUACCGGGCCUUUUUGGGCUUGGUAAUUGGAAUGAGGGAGAGUUAAACGGACCAUCGAGUAUCCAUUGGAGGGCAAGUCUGGUGCCAGCAGCUGCGGUAAUACCAGCUCCAAUAGCGUAUAUUAAAGUUGUUGCAGUUAAAAAGCUCGUAGUUGGACUUGUGUGCGCUGUCCGCGGGUGGCCUGCGCCCAAAAGGGCGUUUCGGUUCGGCCCCGGUGGCGCCUUGAAAUCUGCAGCUGGGGGGACGUUGGCCUUAACUGGUCGGCGACCGCACGCCGGCUGCUCGGUUACUGUGAGAAAAAUUAGAGUGUUCAAGGCAGGCAUUGGGUGCAAUUGAAUACAUUAGCAUGGAAUAAUAAAAUAUGGCUCCUGCCGUAUUUUGUUGGUUUUGACUGGUGGGAGUAAUGACUGAUAGGGACGGUUGGGGGUGCUAGUAUUGAGCGGCCAGAGGUGAAAUUCAUGGAUUCGCUCAAGACUAACUUAUGCGAAAGCAUUCACCAAGGACGUCCUCUUUAAUCAAGAACGAAAGUUGGGGGAUCGAAGACGAUCAGAUACCGUCGUAGUCUCAACCAUAAACUAUGUCGACUUGGGAUCGGCGGUAGUUUUUUCAUUAAGACACUGUCGGGACCACGGGAGAAAUCAAAGUGUCUGGACUCUGGGGGAAGUAUGGUCGCAAGGCUGAAACUUGAAGGAAUUGACGGAAGGGCACCACCAGGAGUGGAGCCUGCGGCUUAAUUUGACACAACACGGGGAAACUUACCAGGUCCAGAGAUGUAGAGGAUUGACAGAUUGAAGCUCUUUCUUGAUCACUUCGGUGGUGGUGCAUGG